rnacentral:rRNA from 2 species
AAAUUGAAGAGUUUGAUCAUGGCUCAGAUUGAACGCUGGCGGCAGGCCUAACACAUGCAAGUCGAGCGGAAACGACACUAACAA